rnacentral:lncRNA from 10 species
GUAGCCAUUCUUUUAUUCCUUUACUUUCCUAAUAAACUUGCUUUACUUUACUCUAUGGACUCACCCUGAAUUCUUUCUUGCAUGAGAUGCAAGAACCCUCUCUUGGGGUCUGGAUCAGGACCCCUUUCCUGUAACAACUGGCCAAGUACCACAUAGGUUAGAUGGCCAUUUGCUUAACAUUAUGUCUGUUUACAGAAAUUCCAUGGGAUGUUGUGGUUUUUAUUCUGCUGUUUUGUUUGAGACUAGCUGGGAAGUCUGGACUAUGUCCUGCUUGAGUACAUUCAUCUGGGCUACUCUCGUGCCUGUGUCUGAGGGAUUCAGUAGAAUGCCGAGAGAUGCCACCGGGGGAGAAAGCUGAUGUGACCCAUUCUCUAUUUUUUUAAAAGCAGGCCAUAGCACCAGCAAAAGCGUCUCAGGCCUUCCCCUGAAGGCAGACCUAAGACUGUUAUUCAAGAGGUGCCCUCCCUCUACCCAGGCAAAGGAACUUCCUUAUCUCUGAAGACACAGGACCACAGAGAGGAAUCUGAACAGACUCUGCCGAGUUCCCCUCGCACUGCGUUACCACCAGACCAUACUUGUUUUUUAUUCAGUUGUACUUCUCCAUGACUAUCUACUUCUUCAUCAAAAUGAACAUAAAAAAUACACAGGUCUACUAGUUUCUUUGGGUCUUCGUUUCCUUAUAAAGUCUCCUGCAUCAUGUAAAACUUAUAUCAAACAUACUUG